GACGAACGCUGGCGGCGUGCUUAACACAUGCCAGUCGAACGGAAAGGCCCUGCUUUUGUGGGGUGCUCGAGUGGCGAACGGGUGAGUAACACGUGAGUAACCUGCCCUUGACUUUGUGAUAACUUCAGGAAACUCGGGCUAAUACCGGAUAGGAGAUCCUGCUCCAUGGUGGGGGUUGGAAAGUUUCGGCGGUGGGGGAUGGACUCGCAGCUUAUCAGCUUGUUGGUGGGGUAGUGGCUUACCAAGGCUUUGACGGGUAGCCGGCCUGAGAGGGUGACCGGCCACAUUGCGACUGCGAUACGGCCCAGACUCGUACGGGAGGCAGCAGGGGGGAAUAUUGCACAAUGGGCGGAAGCCUGAUGCAGAAACGCCGCGUGCGUGAUGACGGCCUACGGGUUGUAAACCGCUUUCGCCUGUGACGAAGCGUGAGUGACGGUAAUGGGUAAAGAAGCACCGGCUAACUACGUG
rnacentral:rRNA from 1 species